AUACCUUUCUCGGCCUUUUGGCUAAGAUCAAGUGUAGUAUCUGUUCUUAUCAGUUUAAUAUCUGAUGUGGGUCAUCGACUCACAUGAUAUUAACUCUAUUUUUUAAGGGAUAAGGUUCACCACGGUAGCUUGCUAUCAGAGGCGUAUCCAGAGGAGGUGCCGUGGGUUCACGUGAACCCAUGCUCCCCUCUCUAGAU